rnacentral:rRNA from 1 species
CCAAGGAGUCUAACAUGUGCGCGAGUCAUUGGGUCUUAUAAAGCCUAAAGGCGUAAUGAAAGUGAAGGUCUUCCUUAGCGUUGGCCGAGGGAGGAUGGCUCGUAUCACGAUUCGAGCCCGCACUCCCGGGGCGUCUCGUGCUCAUUGCGAGCAGAGGCGCACCCAGAGCGUACACGUUGGGACCCGAAAGAUGGUGAACUAUGCCUGGUCAGGACGAAGUCAGGGGAAACCCUGAUGGAGGUCCGUAGCGAUUCUGACGUGCAAAUCGAUCGUCGGAACUGGGUAUAGGGGCGAAAGACUAAUCGAACCAUC